rnacentral:rRNA from 1 species
GACGAACGCUGGCGGCGUGCUUAACACAUGCAAGUCGAACGGGAACCUUUAUUUCGGUAAAGGUGAGAGUGGCAAACGGGUGAGUAACACGUAGGCAACCUGCCGACAGGAUGGGGACAACAUUCCGAAAGGAAUGCUAAUACCGAAUGGAGUCCGAGGAUGGCAUCAUCCUUGGAUAAAAGAUGGCCUCUGAAUAUGCUAUCGCCUGUCGAUGGGCCUGCGUCUGAUUAGCCAGUUGGCGGGGUAACGGCCCACCAAAGCGACGAUCAGUAGCCGGUCUGAGAGGAUGAACGGCCACAUUGGGACUGAGACACGGCCCAGACUCCUACGGGAGGCAGCAGUGGGGAAUCUUCCACAAUGGGCGAAAGCCUGAUGGAGCAACGCCGCGUGAGUGAAGAAGGUCUUCGGAUCGUAAAGCUCUGUUGCACGGGACGAAAACUGG